GACUCUUCUGCUGCGCAAAGUGUUGCAAAGUUGCAGACGUGCUCAAGCCCUCUGAGCGACUUGACAGGAGAACAGGAUGAUUACACAGGACACAUUUUUUCAUGACACCGUAGGACAGCUGUAAGCAUGUUCAGACUGUAAGAACUGUCCUCCAAACGAUCCUGGACUUCCCCGUGAAGGGAUUUGGCCGACAUGCAACUUCAGUGUUCCUGGACGGUAAGAUAACAGAUGCUCCUGUUAUGGUUCAGUUUUCCAACUUUAAUGACCACUGAUUACAUCCCCUUCCACUGCCAAAGGGCUAAGUAGUGCCAUUCAGAGAAACUAGAAGCUCGUAGACUUGUCAAGCAGAGCUGUUGACGUGUAGCUAAUACCCCAUAAUUACUGGUAAUGAUGUUUAGAACCACUGGUACAUGCAGGAUGUGCUUUCGGCAGCCCUGGAUUGCGGCAGGCAAAGGAACACUGGAGCUUUUGAGAUUUACUGUGCUCCUUGAGAGGAAAGGUACUUCAAGGUCUGUUUGAAGAUGCUGAUUAAUGAGAUAAAACUCACAAGAUGUGUGGCAGUGACUGAUUAUUGAAAGCUUCUGAAAGUGGAAAGAAGAGCUUAUAGAGACCUGUAGUUUAGGAGUGAACAAAGUCGAAAUCCUGUUCAGUGCUAAACAGCCAAAUUUCCUGUGAAAGGCUCAGAACAAAAUAUUCUUUCUGCCUCCUGCUCAGUCUAAACAUAUUCUCAGGUUUUCCGUUGUUGCCAUAUUGGGUGCACAUGGCUUCAGAUGCCAGUCAUCCACACGGAGCUCCUGCUGCAUGUUUAGAGAUUGGGAAGAAGUCUUUUUCCAUUUGAAUUUCAGGGGUUGAUGCAGCAAAUCAUUGAUAAAUAAAUCACAGCUUGAACAAUGAAAGUCUUUUAGCAAACCUACUUUCUGACUUUAAGACAAUCUUUUAUUGAAAAGUGUGAGAAAGGAGACACAGAUGUCUUGAAAUGGCCUGUAUCCUAUACUGGGCAUCUCCUUCUGCCUUGUUUUAUCUGUAACUGUUUGUAGGAAACAAUGAUUCAUUCUUUGUACCCGGGACUCUUUCGUGACGUUCAGUAGAUGUCUGUGUAAAACUAAUAUAUGCUACAGUCUGAAGAUGUUACUAAGUAGUUCUUGUUCCAAAAUACAGGUGAAGUGACUGUGAUUUUCAAUAGUUUUCCUGUCCAACUAUGCCAGUCAGUAACCAUUAAUAUUAGGGGGUACCAUCUAAGUGCACAGGAAGUUUCGAAGAUAAUUUAUUUAAAUUCAGCGUGUAAAAUGACCAUAAAUAUAACCUGUCCAAAUUACAGCUACAUACCCAUCUAUAAAUGCACAACCAUACAAUUCAUUUUUAAGCAUCCAACUUUUAGAUAACCUUGUGUAAAAAAUAAACAAGCAACAACCAAAGCUCUGACAAACACUAGGCAGUGCAACUUUCUUCUGUGAUGUAAAAUUGCAGAAAUGUGCCAACAGAUUUUUAAGAUUUUAAUCAUUUUCAAGCACACAAAAAAGGAAACCUUAGCUACACACUGCAUCUAAGCAUAGCCUCUGUAUCACAUUAUCAAAUACAACAGUCUCGGUUCACAAAUGUUAAA